CGGGGUGUGGCGCAGUUGGCAGCGCGCACGAUUCGGGUUCGUGAGGCCGCCGGUUCGAGUCCGGCCACCCCGA
rnacentral:tRNA from 1 species